GAAGGUAAAGCUCAGUGGUAGAGCACAUGCUUAGCAUGCAUGAAGUCAUGGGUUCGACCCCCCAGUACCUCCG
rnacentral:tRNA from 1 species